AUUGAACGCUGGCGGCAUGCCUUACACAUGCAAGUCGAACGGCAGCGGGCCUUCGGGUGCCGGCGAGUGGCGAACGGGUGAGUAAUGCAUCGGAACGUGCCAUUGAGUGGGGGAUAACGUAGCGAAAGUUGCGCUAAUACCGCAUAUUCUGUGAGCAGGAAAGCAGGGGACCGCAAGGCCUUGCGCUCUUUGAGCGGCCGAUGUCAGAUUAGCUAGUUGGUGAGGUAAAGGCUUACCAAGGCGACGAUCUGUAGCGGGUCUGAGAGGAUGAUCCGCCACACUGGAACUGAGACACGGUCCAGACUCCUACGGGAGGCAGCAGUGGGGAAUUUUGGACAAUGGGGGCAACCCCGUGAUCCAGCCAUGCCGCGUGAGU
rnacentral:rRNA from 1 species